ACCCACUGUGAACCUUACCUAUCGUUGCUUCGGCGGGACCGCCCCGGCGCCGGCUCAGGCCCGGAACCAGGCGCCCGCCGGAGGCCCGAAACUCUUGUCUUUACAGUUUUCUCCUCUGAUUGAAAAACAAAAUAAAUCAAAACUUUCAACAACGGAUCUCUUGGUUCUGGCAUCGAUGAAGAACGCAGCGAAAUGCGAUAAGUAAUGUGAAUUGCAGAAUUCAGUGAAUCAUCGAAUCUUUGAACGCACAUUGCGCCCGCCAGUAUUCUGGCGGGCAUGCCUGUUCGAGCGUCAUUUCAACCCUCAGGCCCCGCCUGGCGUUGGGGAUCGGCGCGGCGCGAGAGCGCUGCCGGCCCCGAAAUACAGUGGCGGUCUCGCUGUAGUCCUCCUCUGCGUAGUAGCAACACCUCGCACUGGAACGCGGCGCGGCCAAGCCGUUAAACACCCCACUUCUGAAAGUUGACCUCGGAUCAGGUAGGAAUACCCGCUGAACUUAAGCAUAUCAAUAAGCGGAGGAAAAGAAACCAACAGGGAUUGCCCCAGUAACGGCGAGUGAAGCGGCAACAGCUCAAAUUUGAAAUCUGGCCCCAGGCCCGAGUUGUAAUUUGCAGAGGAUGCUUUGGGCGCGGUGCCUUCCGAGUUCCCUGGAACGGGACGCCACAGAGGGUGAGAGCCCCGUCUGGUCGGACACCAAGCCUAUGUAAAGCUCCUUCGACGAGUCGAGUAGUUUGGGAAUGCUGCUCAAAAUGGGAGGUAUAUGUCUUCUAAAGCUAAAUACCGGCCAGAGACCGAUAGCGCACAAGUAGAGUGAUCGAAAGAUGAAAAGCACUUUGAAAAGAGAGUUAAACAGCACGUGAAAUUGUUGAAAGGGAAGCGUUCAUGACCAGACUUGGCCCGGUUGAUCAUCCAGCGUUCUCGCUGGUGCACUCUGCCGGUCCAGGCCAGCAUCAGUUCGCCGCGGGGGAUAAAGGUUUCGGGAAUGUGGCUCCUCGGAGUGUUAUAGCCCGUUGCGCAAUA
rnacentral:rRNA from 1 species